rnacentral:miRNA from 1 species
UGUGUGUGUGUGUGUGUGUGUGUGUGUGCGCACACACACACACACACGUGUGCAUACACACA